rnacentral:lncRNA from 1 species
UGAUCUGUAGCUUAAUUUUAUUGUAGUACCUUUGUCUUGCUUUGGUGAAAGAGUAAUCUUGGCCUUGAAGAAUAAGUUUGAAAGUGUCCCCUUACCUUAAACUUUUUUGGAAACUUUUGAGAAGGAUUAGUGUUAACUCUUCUUUAAAUAUUUGGUAGAAUUCACCAAUGAAGCCAUCAGCUCCUGGGCUUUUCUUUGUUGGCAGAUUUUGGAUCAUUGAUUCAAUCUCUUUGCUAGUUAUAUGUCUGUUCAUAUUUUCUAUUUCUUCGUGGUUUAGUCUUGGUAGGUGGUAUAUGUCUAGGAAUUUAUCCAUUUUGUCUAGGUUGUCCAAUUUUUUGGCAUACAAAUAUUCAUACUAUUGUCUUAUUAAUAUAAUCAUUUUAUUUCUGUUAAAUCGGUGGUAAUGUCUAGACUUACAUUUCUGAUUUUAGUUAUUGAGUCUUCCCUCUUUUAUCUUACUCAAUCUAACUAAUUGUUCAUUAAUUUUGGUGAUUUUUUCAAAGAACUGAACUUGGUUUUGCUAACUUACUCUACCAUGUUCCUAUUCUUUAUUUCAGUUGUCUGUACUCUAGUCUUUAUUAUUUCUUUCCUUCUACUGGAUUUGGGUUUAGUGUGUUCUCCCUUUUUCUACUUCUUUAAGGUAUAAUGUUAGGUUGUUAAUUUAAGAUCUUUCUUCUUGUUUAUCAUAAGCAUUUACACUAUAAACUACCCUCUUAACACAGAUUUUGAUGCAUCUGUUUAGUUUUGGUAUGUUUACUGUAGCCCUGCAAUAUAGUUUGAAGUCAGGUAAUGUGAUGCCUCCAGCUUUAAAAAUAGCAUUGAAUCUGUACACUGCUUUGGGCAGUAUGGCCAUUUUAAUAAGAUUGAUUCUUCCUAUCAGUGAGCAUGAGAUUUUUAAAAAUUUGUUUUUGUCUUACCUGAUUUCUUUCAGCAGUGCUUUGUAAUUCUCACUGCAGAGAUCUUUCACCUCCCUGGUUAGCUGUAUUCCUAGAUAUUUUAUCAUUUUUGCAGCAAUUGUGAAUGAGAUUGCCUUCCUGAUUUGUUUCUCAGAUUGGUUUCUUAUUGUUCGUGUACAGGAAUGCUGGUGAUUUUUCUACAUUGAUUUUGUAUCCUGAAACUUUGCUGAAGUUGUUUAUCAGCUGAAGGAGCUUUUGGGUCGAGACUAUGGGUUUUUCUAGAUAUAGAAUCGUGUCAUCUGCAAAUAGGGAUAGUCUGAUAUCCUCUCUUCCUAUUUGGAUAUGCUUUAUUUCUUUAUCUUGCCUGAUUGCUCUGGCUAAGACUUCCAACAAUACUUGAAUAGGAUUGGUGAAAGAAGGCAUUCUUGUCAUGUGUUAGUUUUCAAAAGGAAUUCUUCCAGCUUUUGCCCGUUUAGUAUGAUGUUGCCUGUUAGUUUGUCACAUCUGGCUCUUAUUAUUUUGAGUUGUGCUCCAGAACAUCAU